GAUGAACGCUGGCGGCGUGCUUAACACAUGCAAGUCGAACGGUGAAGCAGAGCUUGCUCUGUGGAUCAGUGGCGAACGGGUGAGUAACACGUGAGCAACCUGCCCCUGACUCCGGGAUAAGCGCUGGAAACGGCGUCUAAUACUGGAUAUGAGCUGCGACCGCAUGGUCAGCAGUUGGAAAGAUUUUUCGGUCUGGGAUGGGCUCACGGCCUAUCAGCUUGUUGGUGAGGUAAUGGCUCACCAAGGCGUCGACGGGUAGCCGGCCUGAGAGGGUGACCGGCCACACUGGGACUGAGACACGGCCCAGACUCCUACGGGAGGCAGCAGUGGGGAAUAUUGCACAAUGGGCGAAAGCCUGAUGCAGCAACGCCGCGUGAGGGAUGACGGCCUUCGGGUUGUAAACCUCUUUUAGCAGGGAAGAAGCGAAAGCGACGGUACCUGCAGAAAAAGCGCCGGCUAACUACGUG
rnacentral:rRNA from 1 species